AGAGAGAGAGUGAUGCUGUUGCUAGGGAACAGUGAAAAUGAGCCGUCCAUCUUCGGGAGGAAAAGCAGGCACAGGGUGCUUUUGUAUUAGCCUGGGAGAAUAAACCCUGAUGUAUUACUUAUUAGAAGGUGAGGGAUUUUUUCCCUUGUAAUGUAGUAAAAGAGAAAAUCAGAGAGAGAGGACAGAAGGCGGAGGUGAGGCUCAGGUGAGAUUACGUAAUCCCAUCAGCGCUUGGUGGCAAUGGGACUGUAACCAUCGCCUGACAAGUUAACCACAAUCCCUUGCGGAAAUGAAGCGGUUGGACACGAAAACAUGCUGCAGGAGGCAUAAGAGGCAAAGAACAUCUGGAUUCACCUCCUCCGGAUGAAAACAGCAGGUUGCUGAACACGGGACAGCAUUGGGAAGCAGACAGGAUAGACAACAGUUCUCAUCUUCGCAACCAGACACACACACACACACACACACACCCUAAAUCUAGUCGUGCCAGGUUUUUUUUGUCCAGUACAGGACAGAGAGAAGGAAAAAGGAAGAGAGACAGCACAUGUGACUUCCUCAUCCUACACAAGCGGAGUUUUAUGGAUAUGAGCAUGGCAAAAAAAACAAAAAAAUUCCAAGCCUGAGCGAAGGAGCACGCACAGACUCACAAACACACACACACACACACACACACACAAAAACACACACAGCGGAGCAGCAGGAGAACAGAGAACACCCCAAAAGAGGCAUAUUUCUGGUUGUGACUUGUGCCUCAGGACAACAGAAUGGGUACAACAGAAGCCACUCUCCGCAUGGAAAACUUAGAGGUGAAAGAUGAAUGGCAGGAUGAAGAUUUCCCACGGCCUCUGCCAGAGGAUGGAGAUCUUGAUGGUCUUACUGACAAUCGCACAUCUCCCCCUGGAUCUCUGCAUGGAAGUCAUGGAGGCUCAGCAGCUCAAAGUAAGCGGAGGACACUCGUUGCCCCAGACAUAAAUCUUUCACUGGACCGGAGUGAAGGGUCCCUCCUGUCCGAUGACAUCCUGGACACUCCGGACGAUCUGGACAUCAACGUAGAAGACAUGGACACACCAGAUGAAACAGACUCUUUAGAGUUCAUCACCAGUGGCAACGAGUUGGAGUGGGAAGACGAUGCCCUUGUGGCGCGAGCUAAAGAGGGCCCAGGUGAUGGUUCGGGUCAGAGGGGUGAGGAGGGGGAAGGGGCUGCUCGCCUCUGGAGGACUGUGAUCAUUGGAGAACAGGAGCACCGGAUAGACAUGCAGGUCAUCAGACCAUACCUACGUGUGGUCACUCAUGGAGGUUAUUAUGGAGAAGGUCUGAAUGCUAUCAUUGUGUUUGCGGCCUGCUACCUUCCGGACAGUGGCUGUGCUGACUACCAUUACAUCAUGGAGAACCUCUUCCUGUAUGUGAUCAGCAGUUUGGAGCUACUCGUAGCUGAGGAUUAUAUGAUCAUUUACCUGAAUGGAGCAACUCCACGCAGGAAGAUGCCUGGCAUCAGCUGGCUGAAGAGGUGCUACCAGAUGAUUGAUAGAAGGUUAAGGAAGAAUCUCAAAUGUCUGAUUAUCACACACCCGUCCUGGUUUAUUCGGACCGUUCUGGCUAUCUCACGCCCGUUCAUUAGUGUGAAGUUCCUGGAAAAGGUUCGCUAUGUGCAGAGUCUGGAGGAGUUGGCUCAGAUCGUCCCUAUGGAGCAUGUGCAGAUCCCUGAGUGUGUGCUGCAGUAUGAUGAGGAGCGUCCCAAGGCCCAGACAGAAAGGCUUGUGGAAUCCCAGAGACAGAGUGACAAAUCAGUCCCAGAAAGGCCCACUUCGGUGGCUGCGGAGGCUUGUCCAUGACUGUAGGUAAGAAAAGAGACCUGUAACAGUAGAGGUCCUCCAGCUGAGUCAGUUUAAUGGCUGACAGUGAAUAUUCCAUGUUAGGAUCGCACAGCUCCACCCUUAACACACGAGCUACUCUGGUCACCAGUGGAAAUUUUUUGAAAACUCUUCUGGCACGUUACAUAAGUUAACGGUUUUUAGCAAAGGACAAAGAGCUGUGUGAGUUUUCUUCAUCCGAAAUCUGCAGCUGUUUUUCCACAAUGCAGUGAUCCAUCAUCAUCUUUCUGUCUGAAAAGGAACUUUUAAGAAACUUUAUUUAUGCAAUCAGUGGAUACUUUAAUAGGGACAGCUGUACACCUGAUUCAUGCAAUGAGCCAAUUUUCAGCCAGUCAUCUGCUAACAGCGUUGAUCUGCUAAAACCAGACAACUGCCCCGUCCUUAGUUUCAUUGUUCUUGGCUGACAGGACUGGAACCCAAUGUGUCCUCUGCCAUUGUAGUCUGUUCACCUCAGUUUACAUAGCCUUCCUGCCAGCUUAAAACCUGUGUAAUCUCUUUCCUCUGACUUUUCUCAUCAGCAAGGUGUUUCCACCUGCUGUGCACUAAAUGUUUUUUGUUCUAUUUGCACCAUUCUCUUGAGAGUCUUUUUUUUUUUUGCAUGACAUCUCAGGAGCUCAGCUGCUUCUGACUCAGACCAGACUGCCUGGCACCAACAACAACACUACAAUCACUGCAUUCACAUUUUACAUAAUUCUGAUGUUUGAUUUGAGUGUUAACUGAGGCUCUUGCCUUAUAUAUAUGCAUUAUUUAAUUGUUUGGCUGAUUAGGGGAUUGCGUUCAUCCAAACGGGUGUACAGAUAUUCCUAAUAAAGUGGACAGUAAGCAUUACCACUUUAACCACAUAGGGGGAAACAAGCAACUUACCUAAAAAGGACAAAAAAAUGACUUUCUUUUUUUAGAUAAUCACUCAGACUCAUUUUUACCCAGAAUGCAUGGGGAACAUGUUUUAAUGUGUAGAAAGGCUCCACAUGGACAGGCAUAUUUUUGUGUUGCACUAAAUGCUCUAAAGUCCAUAUUUAACAAUGUGCACAGUCAGUAAGUUAUUAUGUAUUGUGCUGAUCAUCCUUCCAGACAUCGUUCACACCAGCAGAAAUUUGUUACUGUAGUAAAAGGCAUAAGUAAUAAACACAGCCAGCAUUCAUUGUACUUACAUAACUGUAAAAUACUGUAUGCUUCAGUUUCCACCCCUUUAUAGCAAAUGCUUUAUAAAUGACUGAUUACAGGUGUCUUAAUUCUUUUCUGAAAAGAGGUCAUGGGUGAAAUAUUAAAAUAAUACAUGCAAUAGUUCUUAAAUGUGAAUGUUAGUUUACACAUUUUUCAAUAAUUCUCAUUUCCAACUAUCAUGUACAGGUUUUCUGUAUGUUUAUGAUGUAACUACAAUAAAAAAAAAAAAAAACAAUGAGGUAACUGCAGAAUUUCUGACAUUUCCAUGCUGUAUUUACAGGAUUUUUACAGGAGAAAUAUUUUCAAAUACUGCAGCCACGUUAUUGUACAUAACGAUCACACUGUACAGUGCAUUGUAAGUAAUUUGUAUCACAACACGUUUCUGUUUCAUACAUAAGGUUGUGAGUGAAUGUCGUGAAGUAGAUAUGAGGUAAUAAAGUUCAAUCCGAGGAGUCCAACAAAA